rnacentral:rRNA from 1 species
GACGAACGCUGGCGGCGUGCUUAACACAUGCAAGUCGAACGGAAAGGCCCUGCUUUUGUGGGGUGCUCGAGUGGCGAACGGGUGAGUAACACGUGAGUAACCUGCCCUUGACUUUGGGAUAACUUCAGGAAACUUGGGCUAAUACCUGAUAGGAGCUCCUGCUGCAUGGUGGGGGUUGGAAAGUUUCGGCGGUUGGGGAUGGACUCGCGGCUUAUCAGCUUGUUGGUGGGGUAGUGGCUUACCAAGUCUUUGACGGGUAGCCGGCCUGAGAGGGUGACCGGCCACAUUGGGACUGAGAUACGGCCCAGACUCCUACGGGAGGCAGCAGUGGGGAAUAUUGCACAAUGGGCGGAAGCCUGAUGCAGCAACGCCGCGUGCGGGAUGACGGCCUUCGGGUUGUAAACCGCUUUCGCCUGUGACGAAGCGUGAGUGACGGUAAUGGGUAAAGAAGCACCGGCUAACUACGUG